AUCUAGCUGAUGAGUCUCAAAUAGGACGAGACGAGAGUCUUGAAU
rfam:Schistosoma rodhaini strain Burundi genome assembly, scaffold: SROB_scaffold0017495